rnacentral:rRNA from 1 species
AUUGAACGCUGGCGGCAGGCCUAACACAUGCAAGUCGAACGAGUGGCGGACGGGUGAGUAAUGUGUGGGAAACUGCCCGCUGGAGGGGGAUAACUCCUGGAAACGGUAGCUAAUACCGCAUACCAUCGGAUGUGCCCAGAUGGGAUAAGCUUGUAGGUGAGGUAAGGACUAACCUAGGCGACGAUCCCUAGCUGGUCUGAGAGGAUGAUCAGCCACAGUGGAACUGAGACACCGUCCAGACACCUACGGGAGGCAGCGGUGGGGAAGAUUGCACAAUGGGCGCAAGCCUGAUGCAGCCAUGCCGAGUGUAGGAAGAAGGACUUCGGGUUGUAAAGUACUUUCAGCGGGGAGGCGUUACCCGCAGAUGCAGCACCGGCUAACUCCGUGCCAGCAGCCGCGGUAAUAC